CUCGAGUGCAUGAAGCUGGAAUCGCUAGUAUCGCGGAUCAGAAUGCCGCGGUGAAUACGUUCCCGGGUCUUGUACACACCGCCCGUCACACCAUGGGAGUCGGGAAUGCCCGAAGCCGGUGGCCCGAUCGAGAGAAGGGAGCCGUCGAAGGCAGGCCGGAUGACUGGGGUGAAGUCGUAACAAGGUACC
rnacentral:rRNA from 1 species